CAUUGCUAAAUUUUCUCACUUCCAAUUUUCCGACUCCCACCAUUAAUUAUUGUAAAGCCACGCCUCAUGCCAAAAUGUAUAUAAACAUAUUUUAACGCACAGACGAACAUCAGUAAAAAUUACUAAACUCCAACGUUGUCUUCCUGUCUGUUUAAUAAAUCGUCAAAAACAACGAAAAUUUUGAAAAUGAUUAAGCUGUUGAUAUUUUCACUUUUGAUGAUCGCAUUGGUAGCAGCUGUUACUGCUGAAGGUUGUCCAGGACAAUGGUGUCACCCGAGUGAAGGUCACCCCUGCUGCAAUGUCGAUUAUCGUUGUUCAGCCGAAUGGUUCCAAGGUACCUGCUAUCUUAGGAAAAAUGGAAAAUAAAUGGAAAGUUCAUCUUGUAAUUACAAGUAAUAGGCAAAUGUACUACUUCCUUAAUAAAUAAACUGACAUUUGC